rnacentral:lncRNA from 1 species
UAGUUAUAUGAUGCCAAAUCCUUGGUUCAACCAGCCAUGGGUUGAUCCAACUCAAACCUAAAAUUGAUUUGAAUUAAUUUAGAUUUAAUUAGCCCAAUCUAAAAUCAAUUUGGAAUCCGAUUUGAAAUAAAGAGCUAGGAUUUGCUACAUGUGCUAGCAUAUCAAUUUUGCAAACAUGAUCUAAUCUAGUUAGACCCCUAAUUAUUUUUUUAUAUGUGACCCAUUGGGUUCUAUAUCUAGUCUACAG